GGUUGCUGAUCAAGUGUUUUCCACAUCAAGGUAGAAUCAGGAGCAUUGAUGUCUGUAUUGACUGCACGAUCGUGAACUCCACUGAGAAAGAUGAUGGCUUUAAACACCAGAAUGAAGGGUUGGAAAUGGACUUAACCUCAUCAAACACUUCCAUAUCUGAUCUUACCUUCCGAGCUGUGGAUCCUGGCCAACAUGAAAGAGUUCCAUUUGCAGGCUGACUUUCAAUGCAAUGGGAAGCCACUGGAAGGUUUUAAAUGCCAGGGGUUUGUGAGUGCAAUUGGGAGAUUUUGUGGUCAAAUCUGAAUUUUAAGAUCAUCACCGGCUUCUGUUGGAGAACGGAUGCAUGGAAGCAGGAAAGCCAGGCUAGUGAUUCAGGGAUGAAUAAAUGAAGGUAAAAAUUAGAAAAUUUUAAGGAUCGAAAAGAAAUGGGUGGAAAUGAGGAGAGCAAAGGAGAUUAAUGAACCAGGAACAUCACCCAUCAAGAUAGGAAGCUGACGUGUCGUCACCAGUUUCUUAUUUCAAGUG